rnacentral:rRNA from 1 species
UACGAAGGGGGCUAGCGUUGCUCGGAAUUACUGGGAGUAAAGCGCACGUAGGCGGCUUUCUAAGUCGCGGGUGAAAUCCUGGAGCUCAACUCCAGAACUGCCUUCGAUACUGGAAAGCUCGAGUCCGGGAGAGGUGAGUGGAACUGCGAGUGUAGAGGUGAAAUUCGUAGAUAUUCGCAAGAACACCAGUGGCGAAGGCGGCUCACUGGCCCGGUACUGACGCUGAGGUGCGAAAGCGUGGGGAGCAAACAGG